rnacentral:sRNA from 1 species
UCGUGCGCAACAGACGUCGCUUUCUGCAGGCGCAUAUACCAGCAUAUUAUCCCCAACUGUAUAAACUGUACAAACUGUCCAAACUGUGUGUAAACUGUUUGCCUAAUGCAAAUUCAACAAGCUGCACCUACCAUUUCCUCUAAUAAGCCAACUCGCUGAGCUGUUUGUACAAAUUUACAGCUUCAAGCUAAACCAAAAAAAAAUUUGUAUAACGUAGAGAGAAAUCAUCAGAAAUCAAAAACCAAAUAACCAUAAGAAAUAACCAUAACAAAAACUGUAUUGAAAAAAAAGCAAACAAACAAACCAAACAUAACUGUAAAUUGGUAUAUACAAACGAGCCUGUUGCAGCAAACAGUAAACAAACAAACAAACAAACAACAGCAAUAACAAACGCCGCUAGUAGUUUCCUUUUGUGGCACAAGCGAAAAUUACAUUUUGCAUAGUAGACUUUUAGGCGUCGCACUCAAUUUAGUUGAAAAGCAACAACA